rnacentral:misc_RNA from 1 species
GAGAUGUACAUGCAGUUACAAUUGAGUGUGGGUUGAACAAUGAUGGUGAUGCUGGGAUUUCCUUGACAUGGGAGGAUCUCUGGGUGACAGUUCCAGAUGGGAAGGGUAGCAGCAGACCAAUCAUUCAAGGCCUCACUGGCUAUGCAAGGCCUGGUCAGCUCUUGGCCAUUAUGGGCCCUUCUGGCUGUGGCAAGUCUACUCUCCUUGAUACCUUAGCAGGGAGAUUAGG